GACGAACGCUGGCGGCGUGCUUAACACAUGCAAGUCGAACGGAAAGGCCCUGCUUUUGUGGGGUGCUCGAGUGGCGAACGGGUGAGUAACACGUGAGUAACCUGCCCUUGACUUUGGGAUAACUGCAGGAAACUGGGGCUAAUACCGGAUAGGAGCUCCUGCUGCAUGGUGGGGGUUGGAAAGUUUCGGCGGUUGGGGAUGGACUCGCGGCUUAUCAGCUUGUUGGUGGGGUAGUGGCUUACCAAGGCUUUGACGGGUAGCCGGCCUGAGAGGGUGACCGGCCAUAUUGGGACUGAGAUACGGCCCAGACUCCUACGGGAGGCAGCAGUGGGGAAUAUUGCACAAUGGGCGGAAGCCUGAUGCAGCAACGCCGCGUGCGGGAUGACGGCCUUCGGGUUGUAAACCGCUUUCGCCUGUGACGAAGCGUGAGUGACGGUAAUGGGUAAAGAAGCACCGGCUAACUACGUGCCAGCAGCCGCGGUGAUACGUAGGGUGCGAGCGUUGUCCGGAUUUAUUGGGCGUAAAGGGCUCGUAGGUGGUUGAUCGCGUCGGAAGUGUAAUCUUGGGGCUUAACCCUGAGCGUGCUUUCGAUACGGGUUGACUUGAGGAAGGUAGGGGAGAAUGGAAUUCCUGGUGGAGCGGUGGAAUGCGCAGAUAUCAGGAGGAACACCAGUGGCGAAGGCGGUUCUCUGGGCCUUUCCUGACGCUGAGGAGCGAAAGCGUGGGGAGCGAACAGGCUUAGAUACCCUGGUAGUCCACGCUGUAAACGGUGGGUACUAGGUGUGGGGUCCAUUCCACGGGUUCCGUGCCGUAGCUAACGCUUUAAGUACCCCGCCUGGGGAGUACGGCCGCAAGGCUAAAACUCAAAGGAAUUGACGGGGCCCCGCACAAGCGGCGGAGCAUGCGGAUUAAUUCGAUGCAACGCGUAGAACCUUACCUGGGUUUGACAUGGAUCGGGAGUGCUCAGAGAUGGGUGUGCCUCUUUUGGGGUCGGUUCACAGGUGGUGCAUGGUUGUCGUCAGCUCGUGUCGUGAGAUGUUGGGUUAAGUCCCGCAACGAGCGCAACCCUUGUUCACUGUUGCCAGCACGUUAUGGUGGGGACUCAGUGGAGACCGCCGGGGUCAACUCGGAGGAAGGUGGGGAUGACGUCAAGUCAUCAUGCCCCUUAUGUCCAGGGCUUCACGCAUGCUACAAUGGCUGGUACAGAGAGUGGCGAGCCUGUGAGGGUGAGCGAAUCUCGGAAAGCCGGUCUCAGUUCGGAUUGGGGUCUGCAACUCGACCUCAUGAAGUCGGAAUCGCUAGUAAUCGCAGAUCAGCAACGCUGCGGUGAAUACGUUCCCGGGGCU
rnacentral:rRNA from 1 species